AUGCACAAUGAGAUUCACCCUGUAUUGACGGUGUUAGUGCUCUAUAUCAAAUCAUUAUGUUUCGGAGUACCUCUUUACUGUAAGAUGUCUAACAAUGCCUUCAUCUUUGCAGAACUUAUUGAAAUCACAGAACUCCAACUUGGAUGUACUCUGACCAGAAAGAAGACCUCUCUUGCUCAACAUUGUCAGGCCUUUCUCACUCAUGUGUCCCAGCCUCAUGUGCCAUAAUCUGGUUUCAUCUGAAUCUGACAUGGAGGAAGAUACAGCAGCUGUGCCUGUAACGGUAGACCCUUGCAACACAUACAAUCUACCAAUCUGA